rnacentral:rRNA from 1 species
UGGCUCAGUUCGGAUCGGAGUCUGCAACUCGACUCCGUGAAGCUGGAUUCGCUAGUAAUCGCGCAUCAGCCAUGGCGCGGUGAAUACGUUCCCGGGCCUUGCACACACCGCCCGUA